GUAAAAUUUGAAAUUUAUUUGAAAAAUAGAGUACCUAUUGAAAGAAAUUAUAAACUCUUUUGACCAUUUCUGCCAAAAUAGUUGCUGCAACUGUUGAAGCUUCUGGAAUCUUCCCAGGAGUAUCAGUAAGGAAAGGAUCAGGUCACGAAAAAUCAGAUUGCUCCCUCUUGUAUAGGCACCUUAAGUGAUUUAUGGUAGAUUAGUGGAAAAAAUCAGGACAUCCCUAAUGGAUUAUUUAUUGUGAUAGCUGAAGUAAAGAUCAAAUCGUCACAAUAGAACAUUAAUGACUUCUCUUCAUAACUAAAAUCCCUGAUACAAAGGUUAACAUAAGAAAUAUGUUACUGUAUAACUUAUUUUUUUAACUACUCCAUUGACCAUACAUUUUAUUUAUUCAAUAAUAGUCUUGGAAGGCAGUCAA